AUCACCAAAGAAACAGCCCAGUGUAGAUUCUCUCCCCUACCUGCACGGAGGUAAGGGACUCUGCAACCCUGCCUGACUUGAAACAGACCUCUUAAGACCAAUUGCUUUGUGAUGCCAAGAAGUGCAUGCUGGCACAAGCCAGAUAUGGGCGUCUCCUGAGAGGCUCUGCCAGAGCCUGACCAAUACAGACAGGAUGCUUGCAGAUAACCAUUGGACUGAGCACUGGGACCCCAAUGGAGGAGUUAAGAGAAAGGACUGAAGGAGCUCAAGGGGUUUGCAACCCCAUAGGAAGAACAACAAUAUCAACCAUCCAGACCCCACAAGAGCUCCCAGGGACUAAACCACCAACCAGUAGAAGAAGUCAGGAUCCAUCUGGAACUGGAGUUACAGACGGUUGUGUGCCACCAUGAGGAUACUGGCAGCCCUGGCAGUCUGGUCUCCCAAUGAACUGUUCCUUCUUCCUACGGAGUGGUAAGAUGGUGCUAUCCCUGAGCUGGUGGUCUUGUGUUCUAUAAGAAAUCAGGCAAGGCAAGCCAUGAGGAGCAAGCCAGUAAGCAGCACCCUCCGUGGCUUCUGCACCAGCUCCUGCUUCCAGGUUCCUGCCCUGUUUGAGGUCCUGUCCUGAUUUCCUUCAGUGGUAAAAACAGUGAUAUGGAAACAUAAGUCAAAUAAACCCCU